AAGGUCUUCGGAUUGUAAACUCCUGUUGCCCGGGACGAAAAGCUUCAACCUAAUACGUUGAAGUCUGACGGUACCGGGUGAGGAAGCCCCGGCUAACUCUGUGC
rnacentral:rRNA from 1 species